CCGGAUGAGAAAGGGCCAGGGCUCAUAUUUCGCACCCUUCAACCCUGGUUCGCCUAUAACUGGGCGUGGAGUGGCCAAAGUUGUGGAUUCAAGUCAUCCAGACUUCAAGAACGAUGACUUAGUGUGGGGAAUGACUGGAUGGGAAGAGUACAGUCUCAUAACAGCAACAGAGACUCUAUUUAAAAUUCAUGACAGAGAUGUGCCCCCUUCUUGUUAUCUUGGAAUUCUUGGUAAGCUUUUCCUUCCCUCCCCUCCACCCCCAUUCCUUUCCCUCUUUUUAUAUCACAUUUAAUUCUUGAACCUUAGAUCACGGUUGUUGGUGAUUGUUUGGAAAUGUUGACUGUUAUUCACUAGCAGACCAAAUUAUUAUGCCUGGGACCUUGAUGUGAUUAGAACUUUAUGAAUGUGGUUUGGGGACGUUGCCUUGAUUAUGAUUAUGAUAAUAUGUGUUUUAAAAGAAACAUUAGCAAACUUAUUCUGCUUUUUGUUUUCACUAAAACUUUCCUGCAUCAAGUUAGCCUGUAGGUCAUGCUAUAACUUAUGUGAGCCAGGAAAAAUGACUGCUAUUAGUAGUGGGUAAUGAUGUAGAAAUUUUUUUAGAGUUGAGACUUUGAUGGUCAUAAGUUAGCUGUAGUUAAGUCUCACUGUACACAACAACAGAUGAAAAUUUUCUAUCAGAAUUGUGAUCUUUUAUGUUUAUCUGAAAAAUGUUUUCUGGAUGAACCAAAAUCCUUACACUGUUGUUGCUGUUUGUGUGCGCUAGGCGGAGUGGGUGCUAAACUGGCGCUCUUUUUUUCCCUUGGCACUAAGCACAAAUAAUUAACUAAAUAAAAUGGCAUAAGGAAAGAAAAUAAAUUACAAUUGUUUAAGUAGAAACUCUUUACUGCAAAGGGGAAAAUUGGAAGAGAUGCUUCUAUUGGGGGAAAAGUGAGAUACUUUUUCUAUUGGGGGAAAAGUAUAUGAAGCUUUAUGCUGUAUUUAAAGUUGCAAGUGAAUUAUGUUAUGCAUAAUGAGGUUCCUAGGUACUUUGUAUCUUCUUAGAUUUGCCAUUUAGCCUCUUGUAUUGAACUAUAAUCUGGAGAGUUGGGCAGUAUUCAAUCUUCGCUUGCCCAUCUUAGUAUGUAUGAGGUGCAACAUCAAAGAUGGCAUGCUUACUGCAGCACUCUUGCUAUUAACAUUAUGAAUUCAAAUGGCCCAGAACUAAUCAAAGCCUUCACUUUAGAGGUAUAUGAUUUUUAUUAUCACACAUCUUGCUAUCUAGAUUUGCAUGACUAAACCUGAAUGCCCAUAUCUCUAGGUUUACAUGAGAAUCUACAUUCAUGAUGUGCCAUUUGCAAAAUCAAUGGCUUUUGGUCGUAUGUAAAAUAACAUUAUACCAUUGAUGGCCAGAGAGAGAAAUGUGCUUUUCUUUUACUGCAUGCAAGUCAAUUUGGUUAGCCUUGCGUUGAUAAACACUUAAGGCUGUGUUUAAGGUUUUGUAAAUUAGGUUUCCUUGGUUGUGGAUAGAUGUAUAUGCAUGCACCAUUUAUACAGAAGGGUGAUUUAUGAAUGACUGCUCCAGAACUAAGAGUAAACUAGAAUGCCACUUGAAUUACGUGGCAACAUAGAAGGAACAUUGUUGUGAGGUGUUACACAAAAGGAAGAUGUCGGAUUUACUUUUUAUUUGUUUCCUUGUUCACAUAUUAGUUCAUAACCAAUCCAGUAAGUAAAAAUUUCUUCAUAGAUAAGUUGUGUUAUACCUCUUCUGAAAGGCUACUAAGUAUCAAUUGUAGAGUCACUGUCUAAAUUCUUUUUGAAGUGCACUAUGUAUCUUGGAGCCUAGCCACCUAGCUAAGGAAAGGCCUUUAGUUCAUAUAUUUACCAAAAAAAACAUGUAUUUCUUAGCUAACUAUUGAAGACAUGAGAUAUCAAAUAAAUAAACCAUCAAUAUUGAAGAACAAAUAAAUGCACAAGAAAAAGGUCCAAUAAAUAAACCAUCAACAUUGAAUUUGCCAUAAAUUGUGGCAGAACAUUUAUUGUGGUAAUGCCUGCUGUAUUAUUUAUCUUCCCUGGUUGAAGUUCUGGAGUAAUUUUAACUGCCUAAGAGCAUUGUAUUCCAUGUAUCCUUUGCCGGUCUGAAGGUGAUGCCCCUGCCACCUAUCUCAGCCUCUAAAGGUUCAUUGCAAGUGAAGACAGAGAGUGCUCUGCAAUGAAGAGAGAGAGUGCUCUCUACCUAUAAAAUUUCCUGCCUUAUAGUGAGAGAGGAAUUUCUUCUGCCAUAUGAUCAAAGCUCAUCUAUUGAUUUUAUACUUUUUAGGUAUGCCUGGUCUGACUGCUUACGGUGGUUUUUAUGAGAUAUGCUCUCCUAAGAAAGGGGAGUUUGUCUUCGUUUCAGCAGCUUCUGGUGCUGUAGGUCAUCUUGUUGGCCAGUUUGCAAAAUUGUUAGGUUGCUAUGUUGUUGGAAGUGCUGGAAGCAAACACAAGGUUGAUCUAUUGAAGAAUAAGUUUGGUUUUGAUGAUGCUUUCAACUAUAAGGAAGAGCCGGAUUUAGAUGCUGCUUUGAAAAGGUACUUUCCUGAAGGAAUAGAUAUAUACUUCGAAAAUGUUGGAGGAAAGACGCUUGAUGCAGUGCUGCUCAACAUGAGGGUCCAUGGGCGAAUUUCUGUUUGUGGAAUGAUCUCACAAUACAACCUUGAGCAGCCUGAAGGUGUGCACAACUUGAUGCAACUCGUUGUAAAACGAAUUCGCAUGGAAGGAUUCAUGGUUCAUGAUUAUUAUCACCUAUACUCAAAAUAUCUGGAAAUGGUCUUGCCUUUAAUGAAAGAAGGGAAAAUUGUUCAUGUGGAACACGCAGCACAAGGCCUCGAGAGUGCUCCAUCAGCUCUAGUUGGGCUCUUCACAGGCUGCAAUAUUGGGAAACAGGUGAUUGCAGUUGCUUAUGAAUGAUUUACUUCGUGUGUAGCAAUUAUAAUAAACCUUAGAUAUGUCAAGUCACUUUGCAGUGUGCGUGAACUACAGUAUGGUCGCUUUGUCACAUGAAUUUCGCUUGCCUUACCAUAAAUGAGUUGUGAAGUCGAUAAAUUUUAUAUGGUUGUUUCCACACAAUUUUAUUUUACUAAAUUAAGGGUGUCAAAAACACGAAUGACAUCUUUUGCAUGUGUGAAUUGAAUUGUGAGCAUGCCAAGAACGCUUAUGAUUUUAAUUGUGAUUGUGGUUGUGCUGAUCUAAUUUCCAAUCGGAAUGAUUGGCUAGAAGCAAAGAACCGAGUUUUCCCUUGGGCUAACUGACUCCACUAGAAUGUAUUUCGCAGGGAGAAACUUGUUCAACUUUGAGAAAUUUAAGAAAUAAAUUGAUUUCUUGAAAAAUGGAUUGCAUGGG
rnacentral:misc_RNA from 1 species